rnacentral:lncRNA from 1 species
CUCUUCUAGAGAAAAUUAGUGGUAGACUUGCAGCAUGAAAAGAAAAAUAAUUAUCUGUGUGAGGAAGACUCACUUUGAUAAAUUCUAUAAUGAUAGCCCUUCUAACCUAUCUCAUGUUAGUCUUCAUGCUUCCAAAAUGAGAAGGGCAUUCUUAUGGAAAGGUAAAGAGUUCACUUCUGAGUUUAAUUGCCUUGUUAGAUAGGAUUGUAUAUGCCAUGACAAGAAGGGAGGAAGACUGUACAUUAAGAACAUCAAAAAUAUGAAUUUCAACUUGUUAGCAAAAUAGGCUAGGAAGCUUUAAAAAGGAC